rnacentral:rRNA from 1 species
CGAACGAUGAAACGCCCUCGGGCGGACAUGAAGUGGCGAACGGGUGNGUAACACGUGACCAACCUGCCCCUUGCUCCGGGACAACCUUGGGAAACCGAGGCUAAUACCGGAUACUCCUCGCCCCCCUCCCUGGGGGGGCCCCGGGGAAAGCCCAGACGGCAAGGGAUGGGGUCGCGGCCCAUUAGGUAGUAGGCGGGGUAACGGCCCACCUAGCCCGCGAUGGGUAGCCGGGUUGAGAGACCGACCGGCCACAUUGGGACUGAGACACGGCCCAGACUCCUACGGGAGGCAGCAUG